GAUGAACGCUGGCGGCGUGCCUAAUACAUGCAAGUCGAGCGAACGGACGAGAAGCUUGCUUCUCUGAUGUUAGCGGCGGACGGGUGAGUAACACGUGGAUAACCUACCUAUAAGACUGGGAUAACUUCGGGAAACCGGAGCUAAUACCGGAUAAUAUUUUGAACCGCAUGGUUCAAAAGUGAAAGACGGUCUUGCUGUCACUUAUAGAUGGAUCCGCGCUGCAUUAGCUAGUUGGUAAGGUAACGGCUUACCAAGGCAACGAUGCAUAGCCGACCUGAGAGGGUGAUCGGCCACACUGGAACUGAGACACGGUCCAGACUCCUACGGGAGGCAGCAGUAGGGAAUCUUCCUCAAUGGGCGAAAGCCUGACGGAGCAACGCCGCGUGAGUGAUGAAGGUCUUCGGAUCGUAAAACCCUGUUAUUAGGGAAGAACAUAUGUGUAAGUAACUGUGCACAUCUUGACGGUACCUAAUCAGAAAGCCACGGCUAACUACGUG
rnacentral:rRNA from 1 species